rnacentral:rRNA from 1 species
GAUGAACGCUAGCGGCAGGCUUAAUACAUGCAAGUCGUGGGGCAGCAUGAGUAGCAAUACUUGAUGGCGACCGGCAAACGGGUGAGGAACACGUACACAACCUUCCUUCAAGCGGGGAAUAGCCCAGAGAAAUUUGGAUUAAUACCCCAUAAUAUAUUUGAUAAGGCAUCUUAUUAAUAUUAAAGCUUCGGCACUUGAUGAUGGGUGUGCGGCUGAUUAGAUAGUUGGCGGGUAACGGCCCGACCAAGUCUACGAUCAGUAGCUGAUGUGAGAGCAUGAUCAGCCACACGGGCACUGAGACACGGGCCCGACUCCUACGGGAGGCAGCAGUAAGGAAUAUUGGACAAUGGACGAAAGUCUGAUCCAGCCAUGCCGCGUGAAGGAUUAAGGUCCU